CCCCUAUCGACCCCUACUCUGUCGCCUAUGCAUGUAACCUAGGCCUCCCCUUGGAACUAUAAAAGGAGAAGCCCAGGAGCGGAUACACAACACAAGACAUACGUAGUAGAGCAACCUUACUCCAUCUCCGUUCAUACCACGCCUAUAUUCACUCCUGUACAAGCACUUAGGUGCAAGAUAAUACAAACACUCCCCCCCACUGGACGUAGGGCCUUCUCUUGCCUGAACCAGGAUAAACCUUUGUGUCUUUUCUUGCAUCACCAUCUGGAAAGGGGAGCACGCACACACAAGUUUGACUCGUUGGUGUGACCCCCCAGGAGGAAAACACCGACAAAUCUUAUAUACAGAGAGGAGUAUAAAAAUAUUUCUGUCCGGAGAGCA
rnacentral:lncRNA from 1 species